rnacentral:rRNA from 1 species
UACGUAGGUGGCGAGCGUUGUCCGGAUUUACUGGGCGUAAAGGGAGCGUAGGCGGACUUUUAAGUAAGAUGUGAAAUACCCGGGCUCAACUUGGGUGCUGCAUUUCAAACUGGAAGUCUAGAGUGCAGGAGAGGAGAAUGGAAUUCCUAGUGUAGCGGUGAAAUGCGUAGAGAUUAGGAAGAACACCAGUGGCGAAGGCGAUUCUCUGGACUGUAACUGACGCUGAGGCUCGAAAGCGUGGGGAGCAAACAGGAUUAGAUACCCCGGUAGUCCCU